rnacentral:siRNA from 1 species
UAGCUAUAUUGGAGAGAGUGUCG